rnacentral:lncRNA from 1 species
CAUAAGCACCGCUCUGAUUCCAUCCUGGAAGCACAUGAUGGAGCCAGAGCUAAACUUACACGUCAACCAUUCUGCCCAUUUUCCCGAAGGCCCAACGAGGACCAGACUCU